UGCAGUCGAGUCAAAUUCAGCCUCUGUUCCUGCCAUAGCAGGGGCUGGCCCAGAUGGCUGCCACAGCAAGCUACGCAGCUCAUGGGCCCUGUGUCCCCCUCCCUGGGACUUGGGGAUAAGUUUUACUGCGGACAUUG